CGUAUAUUAAAGUUGUUGCAGUUAAAAAGCUCGUAGUUGGAUUUGUGGAUGAUCUUGAGGUCCACGUUUUGCGUUGGUACUAUUGAGAUUGUCCAUCCUUGGGUGGAAUCUGUGUGGCAUUAGGUUGUCGUGCAGGGGAUGCCCAUCGUUUACUGUGAAAAAAUUAGAGUGUUCAAAGCAGGCUUAUGCCGCUGAAUAUAUUAGCAUGGAAUAAUGAGAUAGGACUUGGGUGCUGUUUUGUUGGUUUGCGCACCUUGGUAAUGAUUAAUAGGGACAGUUGGGGG
rnacentral:rRNA from 1 species